rnacentral:rRNA from 1 species
UACGAAGGGGGCUAGCGUUGCUCGGAAUCACUGGGCGUAAAGCGCACGUAGGCGGCUUUUUAAGUCAGGGGUGAAAUCCUGGAGCUCAACUCCAGAACUGCCUUUGAUACUGAGAAGCUUGAGUCCGGGAGAGGUGAGUGGAACUGCGAGUGUAGAGGUGAAAUUCGUAGAUAUUCGCAAGAACACCUGCGGCGAAGGCGGGUUGCUGGGCUGACACUGACGCUGAUGCGCGAAAGCCAGGGGAGCGAACGGG